ACGCUCGACACCUACUGGAGGCAGCAGUUGGGAAUAUUGGACAAUGGAGGAAACUCUGAUCCAGUGACGCCGCGUGAAGGAAGGAGGUCUUCGGAUUGUAAACUUAUUUUGUCAGGGAAGAAAAAUGACUGUACCUGAAGAAAAAGCACCGGCUAACUACGUGCCAACAGCCGCGGUAAUCUGAGCGGGCUGGCAAGGC
rnacentral:rRNA from 1 species